rnacentral:rRNA from 1 species
UACGUAGGGACCGAGCGUUGUCCGGAAUCAUUGGGCGUAAAGAGCGUGUAGGCGGCCAACUAAGUCCUGCGUGAAAUCUCGGGGCUCAACCCCGAGCGGUCGUGGGAAACUGGUUGGCUAGAGUGCGGGAGAGGAGAGUGGAAUUCCUGGUGUAGCGGUGAAAUGCGCAGAUAUCAGGAAGAACACCAGUGGCGAAGGCGGCUCUCUGGAACGCAACUGACGCUGAGACGCGAAAGCGUGGGGAGCAAACAGG